rnacentral:rRNA from 1 species
ACUCCUACGGGAGGCAGCAGUGGGGAAUAUUGCACAAUGGGGAAACCCUGAUGCAGCCAUGCCGCGUGUGUGAAGAAGGCCUCGGUUGUAAGCACUUCAGUAGGGAGGAAGGUAGUGUAGUUAACACCUGCAUUAUUUGUACGUUACCUACAGAAGAAGCACCGGCUAACUCCGUGCCAGCAGCCGCGGUAAUACGGAGGGGUGCGAGCGUUAAUCGGAAUUACUGGGUUUAAAGGGUGCGCAGGCGGCCGUUUAAGUCAGGAGUGAAAGACCCCCGCUCAACGGGGGAGCUGCUCUUGAUACUGGACGGCUCGGAUCGGGAUGAGGUCGGCGGAAUGUGGCAUGUAGCGGUGAAAUGCAUAGAUAUGCCAUGGAACACCAAUUGCGAAGGCAGCCGGCUGGCCCCGCAUCGACGCUGAGGCACGAAAG